ACGUCAUUUAGACGUUGUUUUUUGGGCUAAAUCACGUCGGCCCGUCAUGACCUUCAUUUAGUCCAAAAAAAGACGUUGAAAACUGGUCUUUGUUUGGUCCGUCUAAUUCAGUCCAAAUUUAGCCUAAAAUUAGACGUCUUUUUCGGACCACUUUUCAACGUGUCUCCAUUCAAUAAUAAUCCAGACAAAAUAUGCAUGAAUGUAUACGCAGAAAAAAUAAAUACUGAGCACAUUGAACGAUAAUGAAAUGCUUUGUUUAAAGUCUAUUAAUAUUUCUGUUUAUUUUAAUUAAAUAAAUAUGUUAAAUGUGCUCUAAACAGGUCAUUUUGGUCCACUACAGCACUGAUAGAAGCACUUCAUUUUCAUCUUUUAACAAAUAUCUUUAUUUUCUUUUAAUAUGAUAUUAUUGGCAGAGGCGCGCGACCAUCUCAUGCUUUGUGGUCACGUGAUUAUUCAACCGGAGACGCGCGUUAGGGAUUUUCUCCUCAGACCAGUGUUUCUGUUUUGUGGUCGAUUCUGGGAUCCUUUUCUUGGUGUGUCUUGAUGUUUUCUAUUGGCUAAAGACAUGUCUCUGUGAAACUGACAAUCUCAGGUAGGAGCUGCUGGUUUGUGGUUGGCAGUAUGGAUCACAGUCUGCGACUCAUGAGGAGCUGGGCUGGAGACAUGAAGAGGUUGUUAACAGGCCAUCCAUCCAAGAUCAUCUAUCUGAGCUGCUGAAAACUGCCUCGGUACGGAUCUGUUGGAGCUUUGUGUCACUGACUGUAUUUCUGCAAAUUCCUGUUCCGUGUCAAAUGGCUUAUGCAAGACUGAAUCCAUAAAGGGGAUGGUCUGUGGAGACUGUGGGCGAUUCCUUCUGCUGUCAUUUAAACAUGAGCAGGAGUAAUGACGGGAUUUAAAUGGACGAAGCUAAUAUUAUGCCAGAGUCCGCUGCUUAUGCUGUAACCAUAAAGCAACCAGGACAACACACCUGGAGUGACCGAGAGCAGGAUGAAGAAAGAAUCGGACGAGAAAAUAUCAAUUGGUGCCCAUGAGGAGACAUAUUGUUCUUGGACCUGCUUUUUCUGUUUAGUAAUAAGUGGUUUUAUGUGGUUACAUAAAAGUAAUUUAAUAUUCAAUCCACAAGCUAAAUUUCCUACAUUUUCUUAAAAGGGUAGUUGACCCAAAAAGGAAAAUUCUGUCAUUUACACAAACAGUUUGGUUACAAACAUUUCUCACAAUAUCUGCCUUCCUGUUUAUCAGAACAAAGAAAUGUAUGCGGGUUUGUAACAACAUGAGAGUGUGUAAAUGACAUAAUUUUCAUUUUUGGGUGAAGUACCCCUUUAACAUUUUUAUACACCGGGGUAGGGGUGUGCAGCGGAGUCAGUAUUUGUAUCUGUAACAGUCUCAAAAUUAUUUGUAUCUGUAUUUGUAUUCGGAUUAAACCGGAAGUGGGUGGGUUGACAACUCAUAUUACAUUAAAAUGGCAUUUUAAAUGCAUUUUUGCUUUUUAUUAUAAUUAUAACUUAAAUAACUGUAAAUAUUUAUUCAAAAUAAUAAUACAAAAUUUUAAUCAAAAAGACAAAUAACUUGAUUCUCGUUAGUAAUACUCAUGGAAAGCAAACAACUCAUUUUUAAAGCCUCAUACAGCUUGUGCUAUGCAUCAUUGUAUUGUAGCAUUAAAAUAACAAACUUGAAAGCACGUUGACAAAACUGUAGGCUAGAUCACCUUUAAAUGUUUAUUGUGCCUGUCAGCACAGUUCCAUGAGACCCAUUCUUUCUAAAUGAGUGCGAUGUUUUCAGAAAAAAAUAAGUAGCCUACAUUAAUCCCUAGUCUAGCGAUUUAAAUAUAGUAAUUAAACAUCUAAAAUUAUCGUUAUUUGUAAGUUUUCUAAAAGAGUGAAAUAUAACCUAAUACUACUCACAUCCAUGUCUGACAUCUUGGUUUCAGUUUAAAAACAUGCAGGAAUUUGAAAAUAAAAUGCAGGACUUGCUUGAUGCUUAAAGAGUUAUUAAGGGAGAUAAAGUUCGGGAACUGAUUUAUGUUAAAAAGUUAUUAAGAUCGACAAACUCGCGCUGACUGACAGAUCCGAAAUGCAACGCAGGGACACGCAAGUGGCCAGUAUAUGCACAGAAUAGUUCAAAAACAUCUGUUUUGAUAAGAAUUUACGAAAGCAUAAUAAGCAUUAGAACAAACUUGCUGAGCUCAUUUUUAUCUAUGUCCAUAUAGCGAAUAUAACGAAUUGUUUAAAAAAAACUUUCUUAUUAAUCUUCAUCUAAAUAAAUAUAUAAUCAGAUAGUUGUUUAAAUUUUUAAAUAACAGUAUGCUCUAUUAAAAAUCAGUUUUGACUUAGUUCAAAACCAGCAACAUGAUUUAAAACAAUAAUGUAAUUAGAAAUAUUUAAUUCAAAUGUUUCAGUUGUUAUUUGCUUACUUUAUUUUUAUGUUAAUUGCAAUUCAUGUCAUAGUAUUCUUCAGUUUAAAUUUUGCUUUUAAAAUGUUACAUUUUCAUAUUUUUAUCUAUUUACUUAUUUAUUUUAUAUUCACCUAGAUUGACAAUAAAGCUUGCUUCGACUAGAAGUAAUUAAAAUAUCAUCUACCGGUGCCACAGAGAUACAGAGUUAUUAACGAAUAUUUUAUUAUCAGAGUGCAGCAUUUUAUCAAGGUUUUCUGUCCUAAUUAAAUAAAACGGAAUUUUUUUUUUUUUAAAGUUGGGUUAAAAGAAGUUUGAUAUUAGCAGCGUUUUUAAGAUUUUAAACUAAUUCCAAAACAGCUCGCGUUUCUAAAUAAGGGUUGCGCCGAAAAUGUCAUUUUAUAGAUUGCACUCAUUCACUUCACACACACAUUAUUCUUGCUUUAAGGGGUUUAUAAUUUAGAGCUGUUCCAGUAAACAUGUGAUUAUGUCUGGCCGAAUAUUUUCUCUGUUAUUCGGAUGAAUUCGUUGUUCGUUUUGAAGCUAUUAUCCGUGCCCUUCCGAAUAACGUAUUCGGCUUCGGUCACAUCCCUACCCAGGGGUAAAAGAAAUGUAUGUUAAACAUUUUUAGUUUGUCUUUUUUUUGUUACUGCUACUUUUAACAAGACUAAUUAUUCAGCCAAGCUUAUUUUGUACUUUAAGAAAUGAACAGCUUUUAUGGGUUUUAAGACACAGAUAUGUGCUCACAGUUUGCCCAUAGAAUGCCCAGUGGUGUCCCACAAUUUUCCCGCAGUAUGCCCACAUUUUUCCCACGUAUUUGUAUUUAAAUAAAUUUUUCCACACAGUAUUUUGUAUUUGUGAUAUCUGAAUUUGUGAUAGUAAUUUGAAUUUUAAAACAAUUCCAUGUAUGUAUGGCUAUCUCAGAUCAUAUGCAUGUGAAAGGCAGUUUCUGGUAUAAAUAGAUCAUGAAGGUAAGAAUCUUAACCAUGCCAGGUGAGGGAUAUAUUAUGGCUGAAAAAACAAUAAACCAAUUAAUGAAAUAUUCAUGUCAUAUGUGUGUUUGACAUAUAAAUUCGUAUUACCUUUUUGUUAGCUGUCCUAUUUUGAGAUAAUUAUUAGCCUAAUAAUAAUAAUAGUAUAAUUAAUAUUAUAUAAUGCAUUCUUGAAACGAGGUUAAACCCUUGGAAAGACAUAGGAAAUAAUAUCGAAAUUUAGCCCAUUUAUAGACGUCUUUUCAACGACCAUGAAAAGACGUCUUUUAGCCUUUCACUUUUCAACCAAAUUUAGCCUUUUUCUAGACGUCGAUUUAUAGACGUCUUUUCAACGACCAUGAAAAGACGUCUUUUAGCCUUUCACUUUUCAACCAAAUUUAGCCUUUUUCUAGACGUCGAUUUAUAGACGUCUUUUCAACGACCAUGAAAAGACGUCUUUUCACCUUUCACUUUUCAACCAGAAUUUCACGUCAUUAAGACGUCUGGAGAAGUCGUCGUUUCGACGU